GACAGAGGGUGCAAACGUUGUUCGGAAUUACUGGGCGUAAAGCGCGUGUAGGCUGCUCUGUGUGUCGGAUGUGAAAGCCCCGGGCUCAACCUGGGAAGUGCACUCGAAACUACAGAGCUGGAGUCUCGGAGAGGAUCGCGGAAUUCUCGGUGUAGAGGUGAAAUUCGUAGAUAUCGAGAGGAACACCGGUGGCGAAGGCGGCCUUCUGGACAGUGACUGACGCUGAGACGCGAAAGCGUGGGGAGCAAACAGG
rnacentral:rRNA from 1 species